AGGACCAAGGGAAGGAGGGAAGGAGAGUUAUCUAGUCAGUUUGGCAUCAACAAGCUGAGAACCCAUUUCUCAUUUUCAUGGACAACUAAGUUGUAGCCAGAUCCCUAUUUUCCUGAGUUUAGUGUGUGUGUGUGUGUGUGUGUGUGUGUGUGUGUGUGUGUGUGUGUGUCUCUCAGAGACAACACUCAAGAAUUCUGAAAGAGACCAGACGUCUGGACCCUUUUACCAGAUUCUCAUUUCUGUUGGCUUUUCUGGGAAUCAACUGGGAAAGCAUUCUGAGGUGAGAGACACAUCAGAGGCAGUGAGUGAGGUAACUUGGAAAAGAUCACUGAGUUCAGGUCCCAUUUCUGCUAUUUACAAGCUGUGACCUCUCUUAGCCUCUGGGAGAUGAAGUGGCUAGAUGAGAGAACCUAGGUCUUUGCAGCUUUUCAUUCCUGUGAUGACCUGUAUGUUUAUGAAAAUAUAUGAAAAGGAAAUCCUAUUUUAAAUUCAUCAGGAUAGUUAUUAUUUAAAGAAACCCGUAUAUAGUGGGAAUCAUCACUGCCUAAUAUGUAGUCAGUCAAAACUUAUGUUGAGUUUUCUCAAAGUAAGGCACACACUUAACUAUUCAGGAUGUGUGCUGUUGUUGUUUUGGUCUGUUGAGGAUUAAGGGACAGGACUUUAGUUCUGAGUCUUAUAAUUUACAGCUUGUUGAAUUCCCCCUUUAGUGCAUCUCCUCUCCCCUUUGCCCUCCCCUCCUCUCCAACCUCAGCAUCCUGUGCAUUUUUCAUCUGUACUGCUUAUCAGAUUACUUUAUAGUUGUUUGCUUACAUUUCUCUCUGUCCUUCCCAGAGGCUGGAAACCACGUCCUAUUCAUCUUUACUUUUAUAAAACAUUGAGGAGAAGAAAGAUGGUGAGAUGUCAGGAAAUAGGCAGCAGUAGAGUCAAAGAUGGCCCAGGGAAGCCCGGGUGGCUCCGUCGGUUGAGCUUCUGACUGUUGAUUUUGGUUCAGGUUGUGAUCUCAGGGUUGUGGGAUCAAGCCC